AGCAAGAAGAUUUUAUGAUUUUCGUAAAGCUUUGAGUAAUCUUGUGUUUCCAUUGCCACAAGUUGGGGGUUGAAUGGUGAAGGGCAAGGCAUGAUCGAAAUCAGAUAAUCCUCGAGAGCCAAGCACCACAAUAGGUUGGAAAGAGACUUGGAAAGUUGCACAUCCUUUGUUGCAAAACCCUUCGCAACCUUCAUUGAAAGGCAAGAAAAGCCCAGUUGUGGGAGACUCACGAGUGGAAUCUUCGACUGUUGCUGACUAGAAAACCAUAAAAUCAUAAAUUGCUGUAAGAACUACUUUGAGUUAUCUUAAAGCAAAGAACUGGCGGUGAGUCCUUGCUCGAGCGUGAAAACAAGCUGGGCGAUAAACUUGGUGGUAUCAUCUUCCACCGAGCGGGUCAUGCAAAGUCAUGUGCA
rnacentral:lncRNA from 1 species